CUGCUUUCUGUGCUGUGGCAGACAUAAGCCUAAAAGAAGAGCAAUUAGUAAUAAAAUCCAUCAGGGUGUUUUUAAGAACCGAGAAGCUUCCCCAGGUGGACUUCCCAGCAGAUUUGCCUUCCACCCUCGCCUUGCCCCAGCCCUCCUUCACAUGCUCCUGGCCGGGCAUCGCCUGCAAGGCACAGGGAGAGCUGCAGCCCCGGUGCAUCGCUUGUGCAAGGACGAGGCAGAACUCGCUGUGCCUCCCUCCCUGCGGGAUGCGCUUCCUCCCAAGGAAAUCCCCCACUGCGAGGCAUCCUGGGAGCCCAGCCCUGCGGAUUUUAAAAGGCAGCCAGAAAGCGCUGCCUGGUACCGGAGGACACCUACGGGUGUUGAGAAAGCCCUCGGAAAGAAGCAAACGUUUCAGUUAGGGAUAAGGAGAAGAAAAACGCAGUCCUUCCCACUCCUCGGCUCUGUGGUUUGUCUGAGCUCACUUCCUUGGGAUACAUCAGGGUUUGAUCUGUAAAAAGAGAUAUCUAAAAACGUGUAAAAUCUUAACUGUUCUGGUGAUAGCAGCGUAAUCUGCCUUUGAUCACGUAAAUUGUCAAAGCACAGCUCUAUCUGCUGCCCAGGGACUGCAGGAAAUGCACAGGCACUUACGCAAAUGCAUAGAGAAGGGGAUGCUUUGCAGGGCUGGUGGGCUGGGGGGGAGAUGGCUCUUGCUGGAGCUUUUGGUUCGUGGAUCAUGGCUGGAUGGUUUGGCAAACCUGGCUCUCCCAUGUCACUGUUCUGCAAGUUCCCAGGGCUCCUGUUCCUGCUGUGACUGUGUCUGCGAACUGCUCACAGCCCAGUUGUGCAAUCCUUGGGUGCUGGGAGGUUUCCAUAGCUCUUUUCAUGAACACUGGUGGCAUUUACCAGCAGAGUCAGCAAGCUGGGUUCUUUGGCUGUGUUUUUUCUCCAAAUAGCCACAGGGACUGCAGUGUUCAUGUUUUGCCUCUAAAUCCCCAUGACUUUGGCCAGUUAAGGGAUAUUUGCACAUGGGUGGGUGAAUCUGACAGCAAGAGACAAAACAAUUUCUUUGAGAACCUUGAGGGGAGCCAAGGCUGCACCAGAGCCUGACCAGGGCAGGAGGCAGCAGCAGCACAGCGGGGCACAACCCGCAGCUGGGGAGCUGUCAGGCAGGACUUUAACUCCGUGCAAAAUGGGAAUUUUCCUCUUUCCCAGAUUUGCAAAAGAUUUUGCAAACCCUCGUGAGAGACAGUUUGGGUAUAGCAUAGGAGUGCAUCCAUCACUGCGUUCACAACAACCGCACUUCGUAGCACUUAAACCAGAUCCUUUCCCUCUCCUUUAUUAUGUUUGGUGCACAAGAUGAGUGACAAGACACUGGACUCUGGUACUUCACCUGACUUGCUUUAAUUUGCACGUUGAAGGACCUGCAGAAAGCUGUCAAGAGAGCAGGAUGAGCCCUCCAUUACUUGGUUACACCAACAAGACUCCUCUGGCAGCUGUGCCAUGCUAUGCCUGAGGAUGCAACCUGCUUUUAGGGCAGGCUCCAUCAUUUUUCCUAGGCUGCGAGUGUUGCACAGGUGCAGAACAGCUUGCAGAGGAAUGUGGGGCAGCGCUACCGAAACUGGGUGCAAGUUUGUUGUGCUGGCUUUGUUUGUUUUUUUCACCUCAGCGAUAAUUCUUAACCAGCGUGCAAUCUCUGUUCUAUGUACUUUACAACUCCUCGUGAUUUACUGUGAUAAUCGAGAACUUAAAACAGAAGCCCGGCCCUGAACCUUUUCACUACAAGGAAAACAAGACCUUUGCACUGUCGGCUGAGCUCAGAGCCUCCAUCCAUGGCUCAGCCUCUUCUCAGGUGCAAAGAGCCCCAAAGUCCACGGAAGUCAUGCUGGUGGCAGAGUGUUUUUCACUGAAGUAGGCGGAGACCGAGCGCUUUACUAUGACACGAGAUCUCUCCUGUCGGCCUGCUUGUAAAAAAAAAAAGAGAGAAGAGAAGGCACCCAACUGGUGGAAACAAGAGUAUAAAUGCCAGGAUCACCAACAACAUGCUGCCCAUGGCUCAAAGUACAAUCCGUGAUGGGUAGGUGCUGAAACAUUAACCAGACCUUGGGAAAGCGUCUGUAGUUGCCGCUUCGUGUCCACAGCAGCCCUCUGGCAAGCCGGGAGCGAGGGCUGUGCUGUUGCUGUGCCGGGAGAAAGGGCACGGCAGUGUUUGCGCAGCGCAGCUGGACCCGCCGGCGAUGGCCCCACAGGGUGUGCAUGUGUGGGGUGGUGUCAGGGGCUGUAGUGAAAAGUUACGAGAUUUUCCAGAGGGGGCCAGCACCCUGAGCCUCCCCAGAUGAGCUGCAGGUUGUGGGAAGCAUGAAUAGUUUACGAAAUUGAGGGCUGCAAUGGCCAAGGGAGAAGGGGGAUACUGGGGAUGCUUUUGGGCUCACACCUUGGAAGGUCUGGAUCUGGGUGGUGGAUUUAGUAUUUAUAUUCUGCAUUUAUUUAUUUUUGCCGCUGGUGAGCUGUGCUGGCAAUGAAGCGAGGAGGCACAACAAGCCAGCAGCCGUUCUCGACUGCGCAAGCAUUGUAAUUGCUGCUCCCUGAACUCAUCUGACACCAGGUACGGGCAAACAUCCCUCGCCGCCCGGAUGGGUGACAGUACAUAAAUCUUGGGAGCACUCUUGGGAAUAAUGAGCCUUUUCCAACUCUGCCUUUGAAGUCCGAAGAAGUUGUGUGUGCUUGGUUGAUAGACGGUGGCCCGGCGUGGCCCGGCUGUGCGUGGUGGUGCAGCACAGCUCCCAGGGCCUUGUCCUCACCCAGAGGAGGGGACAGCCGAGCUCGACACUCUCAGCUGUAGAAGCUGUCACCUCCUUCCCGAACGUGAUACCGCCAGCAGGGAGCUGGCCUGCAGUGUUUUCUGAAGCUUGGUGCUGGGCCAAAAGCCAUUCUGCAGUGCCCGCCCCUGCCAUAUAGGUGUGUAAUAUUAACUCACCUGGUUUCCGCUGCGGGCUCCUCCACAGCUGCUAACGUAUCUCCACGUGUUAUCAGUACGUCUCUGCUACAGACUUCCUCAGUCUGGGUUUAAGGGACAACAUGUUCCUGUUCGGGAGAAGCAAGGGGAUGUCCUGCCCUGCUCGUGCUGAAUCACUCUUACCUGGCAAGGGCUGGCAGAACGGCGAGGCCAUGUUUUAUUGUAGUGUACUACAGCUGCAGAAAAAGUGUUGGAUUUGGGGUUUUUAUCGGACGACUAUUUCCUGAUCAGGUUGAUGAAGUCUUUAGGUGGAAGACUUUGCCUUCACAUCUCUUUGUCAAACAAUCGCUCUCCGAGUAGUGAUAAAAGAACAAACAUGCUCAAUUACGACGCUUUAAAUCAUACAAGCCAUUUCCAAAGACAAAUAACAAGAUCACAGCAGGUGAGUUUUCUUUUAGCAAACACCACAAGACACAAACCAUCAACAUUCACACGGUGUUCAGCCCACCACAAUGCAGCCUCUCCAGCUGGGUCUUUGGAGGCGCACUAGUAGGAAUAUUAAACCCCACUGAAUACCUUCUCAUGAUAUUCAUAAUUUAACCCCAACCGUGCACGUGUGUGACCAAUACCGUGGACUGUGACUGCGGGGCACCAGAGCCAACCCCCCAGUGAUGCUGAGGACUGUGCCACAACUCCUGCUCAGCCCCUGCUCCGCACACCAUGCUUGUGCCGUGGUGGCUGGAGCCCUCUUAGGUGCUGUCAAUAUUCUCAGAAGCAACUUCUUAGAAGGAGCAAUGUGGGAAUAAGUGUGUUACUGUGUGAGCUGUCAGCAGAUGUGCAAAGGACUUUUUGUAUUGAAAAGGAAAAGAAAAAAAAAAAGCAUUAAAAACACCAUUGCCAUGUUGCCCUCUGGGUUUACACAAAUGUGGCACAGAGAAGAAUUAGGCUUUUGCAGUUUCAUGUUUCCUUGACCUUUUGAGAGAGGAAUUAAAAAUCGGAUCCAACUUCUGCUCCAAGUUACAAUGCUGAAAGUCCAGAGCAAAUAUAAUGUACUGGCCCCUGAGGUGUGGGAGCAGAAUUUCAUCUUGCCUUCUGAAAAACCUGAGAGAGAGCUGAGGUAUAAAGAGGCUCAAAUAAAAGCUGGAUCAUCUGAGUGCUAAACCUCUCUCCCAGGUGGGUGCAAUUACUGGUGUGUAAGCAGAUUCCUUCACCUGCUCUGGUGGGGUUUCUGACUUGGGAUCAGUGCAAGGUAAGGAGAAAAUACACGUCUCCUCCAGCAUGAUGUCUGCUCACAGUGUGACGAGGAGCGUGCCGUGGGAAGAAGCUCGCAGCCAGCAGCAUCCCUGCUGUGACUCAGCUGCUGGAGCCCGGCGGUGCUGGCCGUGCCUGCUGCAGCAGCAGCAGAGAGGCAGGCAGAGCUGCUGUGCCAGCACCCAUGUCGCUUGACACUUAGAAAGCCCUCGGACCAUUAACACUAAGCUCAUGCAUGCUGCAUGACAUGAAAACAUUUCCAGUUAAAGAUCAUUUCAGACUGUCGUUAUAUUGACUUACGCAAAUGUUGACAAACAAAAUCUGCUUGGAUUAUGCUCUAACGACAAGCUCUGCGUGCUUCAACAGGUUUUCUUUGUUUUGGCUUGGUUUCUUGUAUUUAUUUUCAGCCGUUCACUGCUAAGACGUAUUUUUGUUCUGAGAGGACAAAUGCAGCGGGGGGUUGCUUCCUACCUGGAAUCUCGACAUUGCCUGGGAGAAGCUGGCUGCCACGAAUCAUCACAGGCAAAAUGCUGUACAGCACACACAUAGCUUUUUUUUUUUUUUUUUUUUUUCCCUUUUGGAGACAAGCACGUGGCUAUUAAACAAAGGACAAGAAGUGAGGGGAGUACACUGCAAUUUGCUAAUGUGUGGCUGGGUUCCCAGUUCCCUGUGCAUUCCUGCAGCCAGACUGCAGUCGUCAUGAUGCUAUUGCCAGGAAAGAUGUAAACAAAAGGAAACUCUCUCUGUCAGUUGAAGCAUUAGGUUAAUCGUGCAAAACAAUACUUUGUAGUCAUUGAGGUCGAGCCAUAUGCUCCCUAGUUAUCAUAGAUGUUAUUCGCUCUAUACAGAUAUACUGCUUCAUUGGCAUAAAGGACCAGGUUUUUACAUCUCUUUAAAUCACAGCAGUAUUUACUAUGUGGUGAGUCAGGGCACUGAGCAAGGCCAUUGGACCCUGUCAUGUAGGACUGUGACUUAAAAUUCAGGUGCUUUAGGCACAGCUCUUUUGGGAUCACUUGGAGAUUGGCAGAGAAACGUUUUUCUGUUGAAGUAGUUAAACGAUCAUCUUUAUGCCUCAGUCAAAUUUCACAACUGGAAAUUAUUCUGGGGUGAAGUCUCCUUUUUUUUUUUUCCUGACACUGCAAUCACAACUGCGAAACUUCACUUAAAAUCAAAGGCCGGUGUUUAUUCUGGGUUAAAACAGCUGCUAGCGAGAUGGGAACAAGACUCAGACUCUUCUUUCCCACCAUGAGGGCUUACACAAGAGCAGUGACAGCCAUGAACUGACCUGGAACUUUUAACUCACAUUAUUUGUGUUAAACCUGUGCCAUGUCCUCCUCUAAUCGGUGUCUUUUCAGCUGUGUGUGAUGGAGCCCUGCCCUGUGCAAGCCCUGGUGUUGUCCAGGGACUUGCAUCUCCUGUGUCUUCAGCUGGGGUUUAGAGAGCUGCUUGGGAGCAUGAUGUUGCCCCAACAUGUUUGAGACUUGCAAACUGCAUGGUGUACAUAGUAGUCGUGGUGGUACUGAUGCCCUGGGAAGGGAUGUCAGAUACUCAGAAACUAUUUAAUGAAAUUUUGCUCCACGACGGGAAGGAAUUUCCCCUUCAGCUGUUGCUACAGACUGUAACAGCAAAUGCUUUUUUCACAGAUUGAAUUAUUGCAGUUUUAAUUAUGGUGUCAACCCUCUUCUGCCCCAUCCUUCUUCUUUCCACUUUCUCCUUCCCUAGGGCCACUGGUGGGACUCCCUGCUGCAGCUCUCAGUGCCGCAGCCUGUGUUGUCCGUGCUUGUUUUGCCCCAGUACCAAGGCUGAAUGCCAUGGCAGUUUUGCUGCAUCGCCUGUGAACUGCCUGGACAGUGUCAAUCUUUUACCUUUCACUGUCAGCGGUUGUGUAGAGAGAUGAGGAAUGACACACACAUAGGUGGAACGGAUAUCUCCAUCUCCCCUUAGGGCUAGGGUAGAUAUGAUUUGCCAGACCUAGCUACAAAUUGAAGAAGUCUCAGUAUUUUAUUUUAUUUUUUCCAUGUGAUAGGAAAGUUUUCUUCCUAAGACCAGCAAAACAACUGGAGCACCCUGACUUAUUACCAUGAACACUUGUUUCACCACCUUCCCCCACCCAAAAAAAAAAAACAAAAAAACGAAAA